AGUUUGCUCGCUCCCAGGGAGAAGGGGUGCCACUUGGCCGGCGAAGUGCUGGCAGCAGGAAGUAUGCCAUCGACAUCAUCGAGAUCCGCUUGAAGGACGGUCGUUGUCCUCUCCAAGAGGAGGGGCCAGCUCAAGGAGGAUACUACUAUGAGAUGGUCUGAUACAUAGAAGACAGACUCAAGCCCCUCUAGGGAAGCAUCCACUAUCCCUGUUCUACUGAUUUCGCCGGAACGUCGACCGCCUAUGCUCCACCUGUGUGAUGACGAAGUGAUGCAUACGGAAACAUGUUUGAUAAGAAUCAGCGUGCCAAUAUGGAAUAUAAGGUGAGUGAGUAUUGUGUAUGCUGAGCCCUCCAAACUUUUUGCAAGGCAUGUAAAACAGUGGAAUGCAGCACUAGCAGAAAGGAAGAACUGUAGACGCAAUCGUGGACUACUUGAGUUAACUAUUUGCUCAAUACAUCAAGAACCAGGCCUCUCCUACUCCUGCUCUCAAAAUGGAAAAGGAGAUCAGGCAACUAGGGAUCUGAGUACUGUAAUUUGAUAAAUUUUGUUUUUU